rnacentral:rRNA from 1 species
AUUGAACGCUGGCGGCAGGCUUAACACAUGCAAGUCGAGCGGGGGAAGGUAGCUUGCUACUGGACCUAGCGGCGGACGGGUGAGUAAUGCUUAGGAAUCUGCCUAUUAGUGGGGGACAACAUCUCGAAAGGGAUGCUAAUACCGCAUACGUCCUACGGGAGAAAGCAGGGGAUCUUCGGACCUUGCGCUAAUAGAUGAGCCUAAGUCGGAUUAGCUAGUUGGUGGGGUAAAGGCCUACCAAGGCGACGAUCUGUAGCGGGUCUGAGAGGAUGAUCCGCCACCCUGGGACUGGGACACGGCCCAGACUCCUACGGGAGGCAGCAGUGGGGAAUAUUGGACAAUGGGGGGAACCCUGAUCCAGACAUGCCGCGUGUGUGAAGAAGGCCUUAUGGUUGUAAAGCACUUUAAGCGAGGAGGAGGCUACUCUAGUUAAUACCUAGGGAUAGUGGACGUUACUCGCAGAAUAAGCACCGGCUAACUCUGUGCCAGCAGCCGCCGUAA